CCCAAGUGCGAGUUAAAAAAAAAAAAAACAAAACAAAAAGGAAUUGCUUUGUUGUUGCAAUUUGCUGCUAGGCAUUCCUAUGUGUGCUAAUGAUAAGUAUUAAUUAAAUAGCUUGCUGUUGUCUUUUAAAUGCAGUUCUUUCAGGCUGUAAUUAAACACAGACACCCAGCCCUUUCUGUCUGCAUAGAAAGAGGCAGGAAGGCCUCCGAAGUGCUGCACUUCUUUCCUUGUAGCAGGAGAGAAGUGGAAAAUGAAGCAAAACCAGUUUCCACUGCAAACUCAUCACCCUGUGCAUGUCCUUCAUGUGGAGAGCAAGCAGCCAAAGGAAAUUAAAGGAAUGCGACUUUCAAGAUAGCAGCCCUGCAAUCAAACACUUUGAAGAUAAAAAGCGUUCACCCGAGUUCUGUGAUUAGUAUUUAAAGACUCCAACAAAAUAUUUGUAGGCAGAAAAACCUAACCAAGGAAUGCUUAUGUUUGGGCACUCAAUGGGGCCUGUUCAGAGGGACGGAUUCCACAGUUAUUAUUAGCAAUAAGGUUAUCUUUGGCAUCAUCUUUUUAUGCACAACACGCUAUUGGAUUCCACCCUCCCAUUUUGCGUGAGCCCUGGGGCAGAAGGCAUACAAAUUAGAGCGGGUUCAAGCCUUACAAGUGUUUUUCACGUAAUCAGGGUUGAAGUUUGGUGAGAUCUCUGGCAGUUAAAUUUAGGAUCAUUCGGAAGGGUAUUGGUGCGUGUUGGGCACCAUGGGAUGCUCAAGGGCUGGGGGGAGAAUCGUGAUGCCCAGAGGAGUUUUGGCUCCACCAGAAAGUGACAAGUGACAGAACGUGAGAAAACAGCCUCAGGUUGUAACAGGGGAAGUUUAGGGUGGAUAUUAGGAAGGAUUUCUUAAAUGAAAAGGGUGGACAGGCAUUGAAACAGCCUGCACAGGGAAGUGGUGGGGUCCCCAUCGCUAGAAGUAUUUAAGAUGUGUGGACGUGGCACUAAGGGACACGGGUUAGCGAUGGCAUUCAGUAGGUUAGAUUGAUGGUUGGACGUGGGGAUCUUGAAGGUCAUUUCCAACCUAGAUGAUUCCAUGACAACUAAACAAAAACAUUGCCAUGCACUGGGGAUUUAUGUGAUAUUCAAUGGGUGACAAAUCAGGCACGGGAAGAGACGAUCCUAUGCAGGAUGUGGCUCCAAGCAUCUCCUUGCUGUGUGAUAUUGCACAGGUCUGGACAUGGCUCUGGGCAUGGACAAGUCUGGACGCAACACAAUGAGAAGCCUGGAAGCAUAUUUUGGGGAUCUAGUGCUCCACUAGGAAAAGAAGCUCUGUGCCAGUCUGGAUGUGCCCAAGGGGUCCCACCUGUCCCCAGAAUUGGGCUGGAGGGGAUGACUUGAUUCAGGCAUGAGAGCAGAGAGCAGCUGCUGCUUGAUUUAAUUGCCUUUCUAGUUCUUGGGGAUCUGCUUAAAGCUGAAGGUAGGAGUUGAGGUUUUGGUGGUGUUGGUUUUGUGUUAUUAUUAUUAUUUUUUCAAUGUGUGGUGGGUGUGAUUUUCGAGCAAACUCCUCUCUGGCACAUCUCCAUCAUCAAGAGCUCCAUGGUGCCCACAAAAGCCUCCCUUUGAAGCCCUCCCCGUUCAUCUCCCCAGAACCAUCCACUGAGCACCGGGGGUGGGAGGAGGCAAAGCCAGAUAAGGCAUCAUGAGUUCCCUGCAGCACCCUAUUCUUGUUGGUCACCGCAAAGCCCUCCCCAAAAAUCCCAGCACCCUGCCUGGGUGCCGGCAGAGCUGAAACAUAUCGAGGUGCGUUAAAGGAUGGCCAACGAUCCCCUGUAGCCUAGUUUUUAGAGAAAGUAUUUUGUAGUUGGUUUUUCUCUUUGUGACUAAACAUGGUUAUUAGGCAGUGAGUGCAUCAUUAAACCUGUUAUUAAAAGUAAGCACAUUAAGCAGAAUAGACCAGUGCGCGGCAAGCCCAUCCACGGUGCUGGACCCUCUGGAAAAGUCAUUAUCAUUUGUAUUUAAAGUGAACAUAGUUAAGAACAUAUUGGGCUAAUUCAGGGCCCUAGAGUUAUUAAAAUGACUACCAUUAAAAAUAAAUAUGUUAGGCAGAAUAUGUUGCAUAAUUAGAACGAUUACAGUGUUUACCCUGAUUGUCUUUUAUGCUAGCCUCUCACUUAGGAGGUUAUUUGUAUAUAUAUACAAAAUAUAAGUUAUACAUACAUACAUGGUAAUGUUUCUAACUAUGUGUAUUUGGUUAUCUGUCCUGUUAAAAUACCUCUGUAGGAGAAACUUGACUUCCUUGUUGCAGGAUGAGGCAGAGCCCUGGCAGGAUGAAGCCUUGGACAAAACCAUAGAAGAGAAAAAUAAAUAAAUCUUGGCUACCUGCAAGUUCUGUGGCUGUAGUCCAGUGUCCGUUGAGUGGGAACCUUUCACUGACUUUGCCAUGCUGGGUCAAACCUCAGGAAUGUACCUCCUGCUUUGAUGGUUUCACUAUUGGUAGGUCAGCUU
rnacentral:lncRNA from 1 species